CCUACGGGUGGCAGCAGUGAGGAAUAUUGGUCAAUGGACGAGAGUCUGAACCAGCCAAGUAGCGUGAAGGAUGACUGCCCUAUGGGUUGUAAACUUCUUUUAUAUGGGAAUAAAACGUUCCACGUGUGGGAUUUUGUAUGUACCAUAUGAAUAAGGAUCGGCUAACUCCGUGCCAGCAGCCGCGGUAAUACGGAGGAUCCGAGCGUUAUCCGGCUUUAUUGGGUUUAAAGGGAGCGUAGGUGGAUUGUUAAGUCAGUUGUGAAAGUUUGCGGCUCAACCGUAAAAUUGCAGUUGAAACUGGCAGUCUUGAGUACAGUAGAGGUGGGCGGAAGUCGUGGUGUAGCGGUGAAAUGCUUAGAUAUCACGAAGAACUCCGAUUGCGAAGGCAGUUCACUGGACUGCAACUGACACUGAGGCUCGAAAGUGUGGGUAUCAAACAGGAUUAGAUACCCUUGUAGUC
rnacentral:rRNA from 1 species